UUCCACUUCUCUGGGGGCCUUUGCCAGUACACAUUUUCAUUUUUCCUUGGGAACCAUCCAGAACUACAAUCAAAGUGGUACAGGUGUGUGGUGGUCUUUGUGUGAGAAGGAUUCAGGAAUGCUCUUGACAAGACCCAGGCCAAGGUCCUAGGGGUCUUCCUCUGGGACCUUGGCAGGUCCCAGAUGCGUCAUCCUGGAACAAGAAAGGCACUGUGGUCUUGGCAUGGGCCAACCUGGAAUGGUGUACAUAGUGUAGAUCCUUACCCUCUGUGCCCAAGAAUCCACCAAGGAGCUGUAGCCUGAAGAGAGUGUCACAGCACAGUUAGCAGAGCUCAGAGCCUCUGCAGAGGCUGACAGAUAUCCUCCUGAGAAGGGAAACUCCAACAUCUUGGUCUAGGAAUGUGAACCAGAUAGCUGCAGAUAGGGCAUGGCUUGGAGAUCACUAGGGACAUAACUGAGAAUGCAAGUAGGUAGUGACACUAGUGGUGAGGGUCCAGCAACAGGGCUGAUCCUGGGGGGAUUAAAAUACUCUGGAAAAAUGAUGUUGGCCCUGGAAGGUUUUGGGGAACAAGGAGGGUUUGGAUAGCCAAGAGGAUAAAGCAAGCUCUGCUCUCCCCACAGGAGCCAGGCUGAAACUAGGAGACAGAUGUGUGCAGCAUAUACAAAGGCCCUCGAAAAUGUUUCUCCCUCCCCUUUUUUCUAGCUUCUCUCCUUCUCCCCUUUUUUCUAGCUUCUCUCCUUGCUGUUUCUCCCUUUCUUCUCUCCUUUCCUCCCUUCCUCCUUAGUGCUUCAUCCUCUCAAAUGAGCCUUGCUGACCCUCUGAUAAUCCCACAUCACCCACCCUCCAUCAGGAUGAGCAUCUGGCUCAUGAAGGCUCCACUUUGAGGGUCCCUCAUAGGCACCUGGCUAGCCUUCCAUUUCCUUCCACACCAUUAUUUAUUCCUACAGAGCCUAACCUUGAACACAGCUCUACAAGGAGUAUUCUGUGGGACUUAGGAUAAACCUUCCUCUCUUCUCUCUCCUUCCAACAAGCCCUGAUAAACUGAUUAACCUCCACCACUCCCCAGCCCCAGCAUACCUGCAGAAAGGCUGUUAGUGUAUGUGAUGGGGAGGGUGAAGGCUUGCCCCGGGUUCCUGUACCUAGGGACUCCUGGCAAGUAAGGUACUGCAGGACUGGUUGUCUCUCCUUAGCCACACCUGCUGCAGAACUGCAGGGCCUUACCUGUAAGCAGCUUGCCUCCCUUGGGGUCAUGACCCAGUGUGCUGAUUUUCCAGUGCUCCACAUCAUCCUGGGUCAUAUUCUUCCUCAGAAGGCACAUGUCUCCUCCCAUAAUUUCCACACAUGUGCUGUGUGGAAAGCAAAGCCACCAUCCACACUUUCCCUUUGCCAGUUACUGUGUUGUAGCCCAGCAAAGCAUUUUUUAUUCUGCUAGGCAGAUGCCUUUACAUUUUGCCAUACUCUAUCUGACCUCUGUGUUUCAGCCCAUUUCCUGCACCAUUUUCAGGGAGCAUUAGGCUAAGGCAGGGGGCAGGGGGUGCUCUCUCCUUUGUCAGAGAGGCUGGUUCUCACUUUGCCCUAAAGAGCUAAGGGCACAGUUUCAUCUUGAUUCUAGUGUCAGGCUAGAGAACAGUGAUGAGGCCUAUCAAGGUGAGGAAUACAGAAGUGAUCCCAUUCAAUCCGCCAGCUUCUUUGGGCCAGUCUGACAGUGGCUGAGGAAGAAGAGGAAAUGGGUGCCCCUGUGAAGAGGGUUUGCAUUUUGUGAGUGGACAGGAUUGGAUGAUGAUGGGCACAGAUUGAAAGCAAUGAGACAUCACCUCCUCAGUGAGCAGGGAGUUAGUGCAGGAGCACAGAGCUGUUGGGUGAACAGGAUUUGCACUCUUCUGCUUUCUGCCCAUGUAAUUAUCUGACGACACAGUUGCUGUAUGUGGCAGAUAGGACUUGUAAAAAAUAAGUAGGGAAUUUUUCUGAUUUGAAAUUAUGGGGUGAUUUAGGACCACCUUUGUAAAUUAUUUUCUUUAACUCUGGAAGGGCCAGAAAUGACCCUGACUCUAAUUUGUCAAUGCUUAGUAAAUGUCUAUGUAUAGACCCUCACCCAGAAACACACUGAAUCAGCCCUCAAGCUCCCCAGUGGAAGUGUGCCUAGGAUGGAGAAUCCCCAAAUAUAACUUUUAUUUACUUGUAACUUACAUUACCCAGUUUUCACCAGAUUGAAUUUUCUUUUUCCUUUUUGCUUAGGAUUCACUUGCAUCCUUUGCUAGUGGGUGGACUAGGAUGAUUAAGGAUGGAAACUUCCCUUGUGCCAAUCAGCCUAUAGCCAGUUGAGCAAGUGAGCUGGCCUGGACUACCUCUAUUACCUCCACUUUACAGGGAGGAAACCCAAUAUGGCCCCAUUGGUGAGGAGCAUAGAUGGGCUUAAAAUAGGCACUACUGACUGCAGAGCCCAAGCUCUUCAUCAUCUGCUCUGGUGUCUUUCUGAUGCAAAGGACUUGGCUUGCCACUUAGAAAUUCUACUUUCAGUUUAGGUCACUUUUAUUGAGACUUUUUUAUUACUCAGCAUGAGCUCAGAACACCCAGAACAUGUCCACAGAUGACUAGUGAUUCAAAAGACCCAUAUAAAAAAAAACCCAGAUGAGAUUAUUUUUCUGAAGAGUUUGUAAUUUUGUGGUAAGAUUUCACCUGUUAAGCCAUUAGAGGCUAAUAGAAAAAUAGAUAACAUGUACCAAGCACUUACUAUAUAGCAGGCACCAUUAAGUGUCCCUUGCAUGUUUUAGGAUGAGUAAAGCACUUGGAACAGUGGCUGGCACAGAGCUAGAGCUAUAUCACAAUUGCUUUCCUUAUCCUAUUGAUCUUUACAAUGACCCUAUGAAGUAGAUACUUACCCCACUUCAAAGACGAGGAAAUUGAGGCACAGAGAGGUUAAGGUCCCACAGCCAACAAGUGAUGGGCCUAGGAUUUGAACUCAGGCACUUUGACUCUAGGACUUGAUGCUUAACCACUACUUAGAAUUCUGUAUAAAACACAGGAAAAUCUCAUGUUCUCAGGUGAGGUGGGUGGUUAGGGAGAGAAUGAGUACUUGAAAGACAGUGGUCAGUCUUCAUGGGAGAGCUGGCCAUAGAGGGGAGGCAGAGACACAGUGUGAUCAGGAAGACAGGAAGUCGUGGGCCCCACAGCAGUGCACCCUGUUAGUAUCAUAGGCUGGAAUGCCAGGGCUUGGCAUUCUUUGAUACUAUGAAACUGUCCCUUUUGGGGCCUAGGAUUGGAGAGCCAUCAGUGAUUGGAGUAGGUGGCUGGGAGUAGGGAGGGCAAAAAAGAGCAGCAAGAAUUCUUUCUUUUUUUUUUUUUCUUUGAGAUGGCCAGGCUUAAAGUCUGUUUCCUUCCUACUAUUAGAAACUUAGACAUAGCAAAAAGUUACAUGAGAUUUUGUACAGCAAUUUCCUGAUGAAAUAUCCUAGACCUUUCUUUUCCAUUUUGACAG